rnacentral:rRNA from 1 species
UACGGAGGAUGCAAGCGUUAUCCGGAAUGAUUGGGCGUAAAGCGUCCGCAGGUGGCGAUGUAAGUCUGCUGUUAAAGGGUCUAGCUCAACUAGAUAAGAGCAGUGGAAACUACAUAGCUAGAGUACGUUCGGGGCAGAGGGAAUUCCUGGUGUAGCGGUGAAAUGCGUAGAGAUCAGGAAGAACACCAGUGGCGAAGGCGCUCUGCUAGGCCGUAACUGACACUGAGGGACGAAAGCUAGGGGAGCGAAUGGG